rnacentral:rRNA from 1 species
UACGGGGGGGGCAAGCGUUGUUCGGAAUUACUGGGCGUAAAGGGCUCGUAGGCGGCCAACUAAGUCGGAUGUGAAAUCCCCAGGCUUAACCUGGGAACUGCAUCCGAUACUGGUUGGCUUGAAUCCGGGAGAGGGAUGCGGAAUUCCAGGUGUAGCGGUGAAAUGCGUAGAUAUCUGGAGGAACACCGGUGGCGAAGGCGGCGUCCUGGACCAACACUGACACUGAGGAGCGAAAGCCAGGGGAGCAAACGGG